AGACUAUUUCAUCAAGCAAAAGGAAUUCUGGUUUGUAUAUCCUGAGUCUAUGUCUCUCAUUAGGUUUCAGGCAUUCAGUAUAAACUAAGAGUUUGUGUCUUAAGCUAUCAAUAAGCUAUUUUCCAAAUCUAGACAAAAAUGGAACCCAGGGCCAUCACUGGGAAAAGAUACAGUUCAAAUGUCCUUAACAAAUCGCCUUGUCACCUUUGUGAGCUCCCAUUGCAGAAUCAAUUCAGCUAUAUUAUCGCCUAAUACCGGUUCCUAUACAUCAAAGACCUAAAGCAGAACACAGCUUAAGCUGCAGAGACUGACUCCCCACUCCUGCUGCCCUAGGUGAAGGAUGUAAAUGGGUGUGCCUCUUGAAUUAAGAUGGAAAGCUGGCUUUAAACCACUUGGACUGAGCCAGCUUGCAGCAAACUAUGGGGGAACUGAAGAAUCAACAUGGAAGUCACUUUCAAACAUGCAGAAAUGGAUCCCACCAAUGAAAUGCAAAACAGUGGAAGGUAUUAUCUCUUGACUUUGGCAAUGGAUGUGUUGGGGAAAGGGCUCAGGCAGUGCCAGGAGCAUCAAACGGUGAAGACUAGAACCCCACAGGUGGAGGAACUGGCAGCAUAUGGAGAGGUGUGCUUGGGCCAGGUGUGGCCAGACAUAUCAAGUCCUGCAGUUGCUGUGAUCCUGCAGAGAGCUCACUCUCCAAGGGCUCAGGCUGAGCUGUCCUCCAGGUCUGGGCUUAGUAGAGAACUUGAGAGUGUCCAGGACCCAAGCACCCUCUAUUUUGCUGCUCCACCAUCUUGAGGAUGCUACACUGCAUGGUCCGAGAAGGCUCAGCACUGUGUCUACAUUCUAGUCACUAAGAGAAGGGAAGGAAGGGAGGAAGGAUAUAUAUAUAUCCCAUUCCUGUAAGUAGUAUGUAUAACAUUGCUAGCAUCUCACUGACCAGAAGUAUCACCGCAUCUCAUGGCAAAGGAGGUUAGGAAAUGUGAAAUCUUUUAAAUCUACAUAUAGCCAUGUGUCUAAUUAAAAAUUAUAUUACUAUGGAAGAAGGGAGGUAUGGAUAUUAGGAGAUAACUUGAAGACUCUGCCACAGUCAGUACCUUUAGAACAAUUCUCUUGGGCUAGUGAAAUCCCACAGAAAAGAUUCUUCCUAAAUCUUGACUAGAAAAUUAUAAGCCUAGUUGUCAGAGUUCUAGGCAUUGAAUGAGACGAAAAAUUGGGAUGGGCUAGUGCUUGUAGUGGUGACUGGGUCUCAUGAUAUAAUGUGUAAAGUUUUAUUCACUCAUGCCACACAUUAUCUCAUCCAAAGACCAGCUCUCCAGAAGCAAUCUAGAUUUUGGCUCAGGGUUUGGAGGUUAGCUGACUGGGUUCUUGAACAGUAAAUUGUUUUUCUGCAUGAGUGAGAAGGGCUGCAAAUCUAAUUUUCAACUAAUCUUUGUGUUUUCAGUCCCCUUUUCACUGCUAGUUCCAGAGAUAGUUGUCUACAGCUUCUUAGUAUAAUAGAAAUUGGGCUGCUUCUCAGAUUUCCUCACUCUUAACUUAGGAUUAAGCUUUCUCAAGUCCCCUAAGUCAUUAACCACUUAUUCAUCUGCUCUACAGCUUCUAAAAUUUUGUUUUUAUUGACUUCUCACCCAUGUUCUCUGUCUGAUAGGUUUAAACUUAAAAAAAAUUGCUUACUUUUCUUAGUGGGAAGAAACAGAAAUAACUGGAGAGAGUCAACCCAUCAUCUUUAACCUAAAAUAUAAAUUGUUCUUUACAGCCAUUUAUUUUAAUACCUCACUACUUUUAUUCUCAGAACAUCUAUUAACAUUUCCCAUGGAAAAUAAAAGACUGAUGAGAUGAUGAUGGUGAUAUGAAGUGAUGAUGAUAGCCAACAUCUAUUGAAUUCUUACUGGUUUAUAGGCUGUGUCAUAGAUACUUCACCUUUUAUUGCCAAGACUGACAUGAAAACCAGUUUUGUAGACAUUACUGCCCUUAAACCAGACACGCAAGGUUCUUGCACCAGGCCCCAAGCUCAAGGGGCCUCUCCCUUUGGAAAUGUCUUCUUUGACAAUUUUUAAGACCUCUUUGGAGACUUGGAACCAACAAGCACUGGCAGUGCCACUCAGAUGCUUUACAAACUCUAAUUAGGAUCCAUAUGAGCCUUGGAUCCUGUUUCUCUCAUUUAGGGUACACUUGGACCUUCUAUCCAUGUGUGAAGUUGACCAGAUGCCCUGAGGAGCUCUGCAGCUUGCACCAGAAGAAUUAUUCCAGGGCCUAUUAGCCAGCCUGGUACCAGAAGGCUACCUUUGGGAACUGAUCCAGCUGUCUGGCACAUCAUUUUUUCACAGAAUUGUGUGGGAUUAGAUCAGAAGAAUGGGGUUGAUGUGCUGUGGUGACUUUCAUUAGGGACAGUCUUAAUGUACACUGAUUAUGCAAUAAACAAAAAGUAUAUUCCUCUUCUCUAUAAUUAUUAAAUCUUCAUUGAUCCAUCACUGUAACUUACACAGGCCUGUGAAGAUUCUUUUUUUUUUUAGGGGCACAUCUGCAGCAUAUGGAAGUUCCUGGGCUGGGGGCCACAGCCAUAGCAACG
rnacentral:lncRNA from 1 species